CCACAGUUGAUGCUUUGCUGUUGCUGCUGCUGCCGCCGCCACUGCUGCUGCUACUGCUACUGCUGCCACUGCUGCUAGAAACAGACUCUGCCUGCAGGCUGAAAGUUCUGGAUUCUACGCGAACAACAUUAUCCAAAAGACUACAGUCAACUUUCUAGCCCAACUCUGAACUCCUCCUUAAGGAACAUGGAUGAAUCUGGAAACCAUCAUUCUCAGCAAACUGACACAAGAACAGAAAACCAAACACCACAUGUUCUUACUCAUAAGUGGGUGUUGCACAAUGAGAACACAUGGACACACGAAGGGGAGCAUCACACACUGGGGCUGCUGAGGAAACGGCUGUCCCGGCUGUGCUGCCACCGGCUGAGUGAUCACUGAGAGUGAGGACACGAAGGCAACGUGGUGAACAGGAAAUGCAGACCUUUCAACUGGCU